UACGGAGGGUGCAAGCGUUAUCCGGACUCACUGGGUUUAAAGGGUGCGUAGGUGGGCAAGUAAGUCAGUGGUGAAAUCUCCGGGCUUAACCCGGAAACUGCCAUUGAUACUAUUUGUCUUGAAUACUGUGGAGGUCAGCGGAAUAUGUCAUGUAGCGGUGAAAUGCUUAGAUAUGACAUAGAACACCAAUUGCGAAGGCAGCUGGCUACACAAAUAUUGACACUGAGGCACGAAAGCGUGGGGAUCAAACAGG
rnacentral:rRNA from 1 species